rnacentral:rRNA from 1 species
CCUACGGGCGGCACCAGUGGGGAAUAUUGCACAAUGGGCGCAAGCCUGAUGCAGCCAUGCCGCGUGUAUGAAGAAGGCCUUCGGGUUGUAAAGUACUUUCAGCGAGGAGGAAGGCAUCAAGGUUAAUAACCUUGGUGAUCGACGUUACUCGCAGAAGAAGCACCGGCUAACUCCGUGCCAGCAGCCGCGGUAAUACGGAGGGUGCAAGCGUUAAUCGGAAUUACUGGGCGUAAAGCGCACGCAGGCGGUCUGUCAAGUCGGAUGUGAAAUCCCCGGGCUUAACCUGGGAACUGCAUUCGAAACUGGCAGGCUAGAGUCUUGUAGAGGGGGGUAGAAUUCCAGGUGUAGCGGUGAAAUGCGUAGAGAUCUGGGGGAAUACCGGUGGCGAAGGCGGCCCCCUGGACAAAGACUGACGCUCAGGUGCGAAAGCGUGGGGAGCAAACAGGAUUAGAUACCCCAGUAGUC